rnacentral:rRNA from 1 species
UACAGAGGGGGCAAGCGUUAUUCGGAAUUACUGGGCGUAAAGGGCGCGUAGGCGGCCAGCGCAAGUCAGUUGUGAAAUCUCCGGGCUUAACUCGGAAAGGUCAACUGAUACUGCGCGGCUAGAGUGCAGAAGGGGCAACUGGAAUUCUCGGUGUAGCGGUGAAAUGCGUAGAUAUCGAGAGGAACACCUGCGGCGAAGGCGGGUUGCUGGGCUGACACUGACGCUGAUGCGCGAAAGCCAGGGGAGCGAACGGG